CACUGACACACUCACAGGCACACCCAUUCUCACUGGAAAAGCACACACUUUCACUCACUCACAGACACACACUGACAGCUACACUCACUCACUCACUCUCUGUAAGGUGGACAGCCCCAGAACAUGAUGCAAACAAGGCAUUUGUCUGGGAGCGUGGGGUGGCAUUUUUGGCACCCCCCCUGAAAGUGCUGCCCUAGGCAAAUGCCUUGUUUGCCUUGUGGUAAAUACAUCCCUGGUUGUUGUGGUGACUACCGUGCCCCUUUAAAUGGACCUUCCCAUGGUGCAAGCCACAAUCCAUCUUUCUUCUGGCAUCCCUCUUUACUUCCUGGAGCUUUAUCUGCCAGGUGC